UUCUUCUUUUUCUUAAUUUGCGGCUCCUUCACAGAAUCUGUUCUGUUUCUUUUCUUUCUUCUGAUACAAGCUUCAAACUUUUUUGUAGCAGAUAAUUUGUUUUUUUUUUUUCGGUGUCAUGGAUUUCUGGAACUGAUUUUAGCAGAAUUCUCGCAUUAUCUUUGAUUUUUUUCACCUAGAAGGUUCCUCAAAUAUGAAAUUCAGUUGCAAAACUCCAAACUUUUGGAGUAGAAGAAGACAUGAUUUUGUUUUGAUUGUUAGUGUUAUGGUUAUUUGAAUAUGGUUUUGGCAGAAUUAAUUUGUGCAUUCUCUUUCAUUUCUUUUACACCUAAAAGGUCCCUGAAAUAUGGAUAUUCAGUUGUAAAGCGUUCCAACGUGCUUUGUUAUGGUUCAUUUGGCAAAGGAGGUGAAGAUGGGUGGUCCGGUUCAAUUUCGAUGCAUGUAUUACAUAGAAAGGACAUCUUGCAACUUCAGACACUACACAAUUGUGAUACUAUCCUCUGAACUACUAAUAAUUUGUAUCGAUAUUUCAAGAAAUUUGCUAUUGUCGUAGUAGGCUCCACGAUCAUUUCAAGAAAUCUGCUAUCGUCGUAGUAGGCUCCACGAUAAUUCUAAGAAAUUUGCUAUAAAGGAGGAAAGCUCGCAGAACAUGCCAGCAGAGGUUACUGAAGCUAAAUAGAAAUUCUUGGUGGAAAUUCCAGCUCUAAACCAUUUAAGGAUGGCAAUAUGUUUCAUCUAACACACAAGUUAUUGGAAGAAAAUUUGGUUUUUGGGUUACUAUAGUUUAUACGCCUGCAAUUUUUAUGUUUUUUUUUUUAAGUAGCAACAUAUUUUUAGGAGUAUUUAGUUUUUGGAAGUGAGUAAAUAUUUAGUACAUCAGUUUUAUGUACUAGUACUAACCUUAGGAAAUAUAUUUAUACAAACAUUAGUGAGAUUUUAAUUCGAAAUGUGAGAAUUGUGUAUGUAGUAACUAUUUGUAAGUUGCUAAAGUUGUAUUGGAGAAUAUUAUUCAUAUAUAGCAAAAAUAUAAUAUUGUUGGCAAAGCGGCAUUUCCAA